CGUCGCUGCGACUGUGCAAGCCGGACAGAAAGGAGCUCGCAGUUACGAUUCCUGGAUCGUAGGUGAAGAUGGUGGCGAGGUCCCGGCUGGGCACUGCACCUGUAUGGCUGGGCUCGGAGAGGUUUGCAGUCACGUUGCUGCCCUACUCUUUUUCAUCGAGGCUGCGGUCAGACACGGAGCCACCGAUGUGUCCUCGACCUCAGUGCGCUGUGCAUGGAGUGCCAGCUCAAGCAGUGGAAAGGCUGGCCCAUCAUCUGUUGUGGACAUCGACUUUUCGCAACCAAAACGUGGUGGCCUGCCAAAAGAGCCAGCUUCACAAAGGAUUUUUGUUCCGCCACAGCCCAAAGGCAAUCCCUUAGAACUCUUCCUCC